GGCCCUUGUGUGUGUGUGUCUUCACUUAGUUGCAUAACAAAGCCUUAGAGACAGGUGCGAACAGUAAAUCCUCUUUUACAAUCCAGAACUCAUUGUUGAGUAUGAGAUUUGGGUACAUGUAAGAAGGGAUAUG